rnacentral:rRNA from 1 species
AACGAACGCUGGCGGCAUGCCUAAUACAUGCAAGUCGAACGAUCACUUCGGUGGUAGUGGCGCACGGGUGCGUAACGCGUGGGAAUCUGCCCUUGGGUUCGGAAUAACGUCGGGAAACUGACGCUAAUGCCGGAUGAUGACGUAAGUCCAAAGAUUUAUCGCCCAGGGAUGAGCCCGCGUAGGAUUAGCUAGUUGGUGGGGUAAAGGCCUACCAAGGCGACGAUCCUUAGCUGGUCUGAGAGGAUGAUCAGCCAUACUGGGACUGAGACACGGCCCAGACUCCUACGGGAGGCAGCAGUAGGGAAUAUUGGACAAUGGGGGCAACCCUGAUCCAGCAAUGCCGCGUGAGUGAUGAAGGCCUUAGGGUUGUAAAGCUCUUUUACCCGGGAUGAUAAUGACAGUACCGGGAGAAUAAGCCCCGGCUAACUCCGUGCCAGCAGCCGCCGUAA